GUGCUCACUUUGGUAGCACAUAUCCUAAAGUUGAAAUGAUUUAGAGAACACUAGCUUGGUGGCUGCACAAGGAUGACAGGCACUUUUGGGAAACAGUCAUAUAUUUU
rnacentral:snRNA from 1 species